AGCGAACGCUGGCGGCAGGCCUAACACAUGCAAGUCGAACGAACUCUUCGGAGUUAGUGGCGGACGGGUGAGUAACACGUGGGAACGUGCCUUUUGGUUCGGAAUAACUCAGGGAAACUUGUGCUAAUACCGAAUGUGCCCUUCGGGGGAAAGAUUUAUCGCCAUUAGAGCGGCCCGCGUCUGAUUAGCUAGUUGGUGAGGUAACGGCUCACCAAGGCGACGAUCAGUAGCUGGUCUGAGAGGAUGACCAGCCACACUGGGACUGAGACACGGCCCAGACUCCUACGGGAGGCAGCAGUGGGGAAUCUUGCGCAAUGGGCGAAAGCCUGACGCAGCCGUGCCGCGUGAAUGAUGAAGGUCUUAGGAUUGUAAAAUUCUUUCACCGGGGACGAUAAUGACGGUACCCGGAGAAGAAGCCCCGGCUAACUUCGUG
rnacentral:rRNA from 1 species